CCUACGGGAGGCAGCAGUGAGGAAUAUUGGUCAAUGGGCUUACGCCUGAACCAGCCAAGUCGCGUGAGGGAAGACUGCCCUAUGGGUUGUAAACCUCUUUUGUCAGGGAGCAACGCCGGCUACGUGUAGCCUGACUGAGAGUACCUGCAGAAAAAGCAUCGGCUAACUCCGUGCCAGCAGCCGCGGUAAUACGGGGGAUGCGAGCGUUAUCCGGAUUUAUUGGGUUAAAGGGGUGCGUAGGCGGAAUGCCAAGUCAGCGGUAAAAUCGCGGGGCUCAACCUCGCUCCGCCGUUGAAACUGGCGGUCUUGAGUGGGCGAGAAGUAGGCGGAAUGCGUGGUGUAGCGGUGAAAUGCAUAGAUAUCACGCAGAAAUCCGAUUGCGAAGGCAGCAUAUCGGAGUCUAACUGACGCUGAAGCACGAAAGCGUGGGUAUCGAACAGGAUUAGAUACCCUGGUAGUC
rnacentral:rRNA from 1 species